AACAUGUCUUAAAGAAAUUAUUUUAAGUCUAAUCUGCCCACUGAAUUAAGUUUAAAGGGCCGCAGUAUAAAUGUGCAAAGGUAGCAUAAUAAUUAGUUUUUUAAUUGAAAACUAGAAUGAAUGAUUGGACGAAAUAUUAACUGUUUAAUUUAAAAAAAUAAAAUUUAUUUUUUUAGUGAAAAAACUGAAAUUAAUUAAAAAGACAAGAAGACCCUAUAGAUCUUAAUAUAUUAAUUAAAUUUAUUAUUCAUAGAUAAAUAUAUAUUUAAUUUAAUUAUUUAGUUGGGGUGAUAAAAAAAUUUGAAUAACUUUUUAUAUUUAAAACAAUAAUUUUUGAUGAUUAAUUUAAUCAAUUGUAAUAUUUGUAAAAAAUAAAUAUUUUUAUAAAUGUGUAUUAAUAAAGAAAAAGAUACCUUAGGGAUAACAGCGUAAUUUUAAUUUUAAGUUCUUAUUAAAAUUAGAGAUUGCGACCUCGAUGUUGGAUUAAAAUUAAUAUUAAAUGUAGGUGUUUAAUAAUUAAGUCUGUUCGACUUUUGAAUUUUUACG
rnacentral:rRNA from 1 species